UACGAAGGGGGCUAGCGUUGCUCGGAAUCAUUGGGCGUAAAGCGCACGUAGGCGGUUCGUUAUGUCGGAUGUGAAAGCCCUUGGCUUAACCGAGGAAGUGCAUCCGAAACUGGCGAGCUAGAGUACGAAAGAGGAUCGCGGAAUUCCCGGUGUAGAGGUGAAAUUCGUAGAUAUCGGGAGGAACACCGGUGGCGAAGGCGGCGAUCUGGGUCGAUACUGACGCUGAGGUGCGAGAGCGUGGGGAGCAAACAGG
rnacentral:rRNA from 1 species